UACGAAGGGUGCAAGCGUUAAUCGGAAUUACUGGGCGUAAAGCGCGCGUAGGUGGUUCAGUAAGUUGGAAGUGAAAUCCCCGGGCUCAACCUGGGAACUGCUUUCAAAACUGCUGAGCUAGAGUACGGUAGAGGGUGGUGGAAUUUCCUGUGUAGCGGUGAAAUGCGUAGAUAUAGGAAGGAACACCAGUGGCGAAGGCGACCACCUGGACUGAUACUGACACUGAGGUGCGAAAGCGCGGGGAGCAAACAGG
rnacentral:rRNA from 1 species